rnacentral:miRNA from 1 species
UUGGCCCAAUUCCAACCAACUAA